CGGAAAGAGAGGGAUUCGACCC
rnacentral:tRNA from 1 species